rnacentral:hammerhead_ribozyme from 1 species
AUCCAGUUGACGAGUCCCGAAUAGGACGAAACGCGCAUAAACUGGAU